CGUUACUUUACUAAUCGGUGAAAAGCACCGAUUUCUAUUCCCCCCUUCUGCCCAGAUUAGGUGACGCUUCAGCAAACCCUCCCUCUUUUACCCUCCCCCGAUCCCCUUUGUUUCUCUUCUGUUUUCCACCUUCAUCUGAUUUGCUUCCUUGUUUCAUUGCUUUUCUUUUCUGCCGAUUUGGUCCCAGUUUAUUUUCUUGCCUUUUCCUUUGUUUUCUUUCGUUUUCCCUCUCUUUCUCUCUAUUUUCUUUCAUAAUACUCGGAGCGUAAAAAGA
rnacentral:lncRNA from 1 species